GAUGAAGAACGUAGCGAAAUGCGAUAAGUAAUGUGAAUUGCAGAGUUCAGUGAAUCAUCGAAUCUUUGAACGCACAUUGCGCCCGUUAGUAUUCUGACGGGCAUGCCUGUCCGAGCGUCAUUUCAACCCUCAAGCACGGCUUGGUGUUGGCGGAUUGCGUGCCCUAGCGGCGCUGCACCCACCCAAAUAUAGUGGCGGUCCCGCUGCGGCUCCCUUUGCGUAGUAACUCACCUCGCACUGGACCGGGCGGCGGCUCGCCGUAAAACCCCAACUCACGAAAUGUUGACCUCGGAUCAGGUAGGAAUACCCGCUGAACUUAAGCAUAUCAAUAAGCGGAGGA
rnacentral:misc_RNA from 1 species